rnacentral:lncRNA from 1 species
GCACACCAUCAACACAGUCCUGGUCCAUGCACACUUCCCAACCCCAUUAAGCAUACCCCAACGCCAUACUGCAGAGGCCCCCACCUCUCCACCAAUGCUCCUCACAGUUCACCUGGUUCUCACACAGGCCCUGCCUCACUGAGAUGGACAGACUUACCUGCCUGUGGAGGAUCAAGGCACCCAGUCAAAGCAGGCAGACAAGUAGCCUGAGGGGUUGCUGUUGGGCAGGGCCGGUCCCUAGGGUGGGCUGCCUGCCCUGCCUGAACUGGAUUAAAUCUGUGCUCUAGUGGGUGUGGCAGACCCCUGUGGUAACAGGUCAAGGGAAGAACCUCAAUGGCAUCCACCAGGGUCUGUGUCAGCAUGUCUGGACCAGGUAAGAACAAUGGCCCCCACCAAUGUCUCAGUCUCUGAAGAGAUCCCUCCUCUCACUGAGAUGCCAGGAGCCCACCAGGACCCUGGAAGCAGACUUGAAUGCCCAGGCAGACAAACGGAAGGAAAAAAAAAAAAUGUGAACAUGGAAAGAGAUGUCUGGUUGCCUCCUCCAACAUCUGUUCCAUCUCUCCUCAUCAUGUGGCAACCACAGAAUCUGCAUGAGAUUGACCUCAUUCCUCCUCCAGCGUUGUCUCUCAAGUAAACAGAUCAGCUUGGUGCUCCUUUUGCUAUAUUGACUGACCCAGGGAUGGACAGCAACGUCCAAGCAACAUAACCAUUGAGUUCUGGGUGUUCCUCUGACCGAUGUCUGGCUCUGGUUGGCCAAGUCAGAUGAAAUGCAAAACUCCUCUUUAUGGUCAAGGCUAAGCUAAAGUGCCCUGUGUGGCGUACAGAUGUGUGGCCUAGAACCCCAGCUGCUAAGCGCUUCAGGAAGCAAGCCAUACUGAGGAUGAAGAUGCG